UUAGGUUUUCCUCAUUUACCUUUCUAUUAGAAUUGCUCUGAUUACCUGAGGAAUUAAGGUUAUUAAGCUGAGAUUUGUGUGUUGUGAAUUUGGUUGACGUUGAUUUGGGGAGCAGGGUGGCUCCAGGAGAAUAAGGAUGGGUGAUUUAGAAGUGUAAAUUUUCUUUCUACAGGUUUUGGGUUGUCCACUUUAGGGGAAGUUCUGCCAAAUUUUUGGCAAAAUUUCUUCUAAGGUGGGCCCCGCAGGGCCACCCCAGGUUUCGGGGUGAAAUCUGGGGCGGGUCUUGUCAGUUGGUAUCAGAGCAUUAGGUUGUCAGAUUCUGUAGACUCGUUUCUAUUCUGUUACCUUAUAUGCUAGGUGUUGCCCAGUACCUCCCGAGUGAUGGCCCGACUGCAGCGGUUCCCCAUCGUGUACUCUUCGGUGCUGUGGUAUUCAUCAAGUGUGUAAGGUACAUGUCUAGUGGGUAUUUCCUUCAAGUACUAUGCCUCGUGUACGCCGACCUCAUAGGAACUUCACUGUGUAUCGGAUUGUCUUCAUGUCUUAUACUUGUCCGGUUGUGGUAGGGUAAGAGCACUCUACCUGGUUGUGUUGUGCUAUGAAAUGUGAUUCGAGGAAAUGUUGGGAGUAACUUUUCCUCGAUGUCAACGGAUUAUUGGAACAUGGUUUAGGGUACGAGACCGGAGUUUGAUGGUGUGUUUCAUUUCUGGAAAUGAGCAACUACGGUUUGACCUAUCUUUAGAGACUGUAAUUAAUUCAAAAUCAUGAUUGUUGGUGGAAAUAGAAUCGGUAAUUAUGGUGGUUCUGUUUGGAACCAAGUUUAAGCAAACGUGUGUUGUGAGGUGAUUGAUUGUAGAGCAGUUUAUAAAAUACUUUGGGAAGUUGAUGGGAGGUCCCUUGAGAAUCUUAGUGCAAGAAACCGAUUGUAGGUAAAUCUGGACUGGAAUCUCUUCAAUUGGACAAUUUAGGUGGGAAUUGUGAACGUAUUACCUUUUGGUAGACAGCGGAGGAAAAUUGAAUAAAUAUUCUGAGUUGUAUAGCUGGAUGCCAUGUUUUCUAGUGACUGUGGUCACUGAGGAUGGUAAAUAAGGAGUGGAGGUGAUAACAGUAGAUAGGAGAUUAUAAGUGGAACGAGUCAUUUUGGGGUUGUUGACUUGACUGAAACAAUUGAUAGCUUUGUUUGGAUUAGAAGAAUGUGAAUUCUAGAUACUUUGAUUUAUAAUUGGUCAAAUGUAUGGGAAAACGGAUAAAGAGUGGGUUUUUGAAGCUAAUAUGUGGUGGAAGUUUGAGGAAUCGAGGAAAUGAUUAAAGUUUUACUAUAAAGUUAUGACUUCAGUCCAUAUUUCUAACUAGUAGAAUUAGAAUCAACCUUUAGUAUGUAAUAUCGUGCCAACAGGUGUCCUUUUACUUAUAUGUUUAUCGAGAUGGUGGAUUGUAAUAUCAGAGAAUUUUUUUUUUAAGAUGACAUCGCCAGAUAUUUGUAGUAUUUCGAGUGGGAUUACUUUAUGAUACGGAAUGUGAUUCGAGUUUUGAUUAGUGAAGUCUUGGAGAUUAAUUGCGAUAUGUUUUGGUGGAACUUUUGAUCGACAGUUUGGUAGUGACUUUUAUAAGCAUUGUUAGUAGAGUAACUUUAUGGAAAUAAGUUUUCUAGUAGGUUCCGGAAAUCUUUGAAGUCGGGAAAUAUUUGAAGUUAAAGAAUUGACCAGUUUGUUUAAUUAUAUUGGGUGAAGCAUAUUGAGGUUUGCCUUUUUAAUGAAAUAAUUCAGCAUAUUGGACGAUUAAUUUGAGAAAUUGGAUUGUCAUGCUAUAAGAUCACUUUUAGAUUCGAGUGUUGUCUUAAUUGAUACAAGGUUGGACGAGCGUCCUUCGUCUCUCUCCAGCAACUUAUUCGAGAAAGACCUGGUGAAUGAUGGUUUGUCGUUUGCGUUGGGUAUUUGUAUUAAAUGUUUUGAUUUGGGAGAAAUUGAAUGAGUUCUUUCUACACUGGUGUUAGUAUAUGUGGAAUAGGUAAGUCUGUUGAAUUGUGAUUCUUACCUUGAUUAACAUUUCUGUCCUGUGGUGACCCUUAAUCGAGAAUUUAGGAAGGGGAUUUGUGUAAUUGACAUAUGGUCACCAAAGCACGGGUAUUAGCAGAAUUGUGUGGACGGAAAAUAUGAGGUUGGCAUAAAAGUGUUUGCAUAUCUCAAGAUCGAACUAUGUGCAUAAAUUGAGGGGGACUAAAUCUUAAGUGCCAAAACAUUCCUCGAGAUUAUGUUCCAUUUUGAGCUAAGCAGUUUUAUAUUAGAAAUAUCAACUGAAUUUGAAGACCUCGGUUUCUUACUCACGAGAGCCUAAGUUUUUAAAUUUCGUGGGAUUGUGUUUCGUCCAGUGUUUUCUUGAAAAGGGUUUUCCUUGUAGAAUUGUGAAAUUUCUGAAUAUUGAUUGGACCAUUGGAAGGUCAAAGCAAAGUUUGAUUAUUAGAAAGGUGAAUUUGCAGACUUCUAGCUUUCUAUUCGAAUGUAAUGGGAAUAUAAAAAUUUUAUGCAAAAAGGGGAAAAGUGGUUCGUUUCUGUUCCAUAAGGUUUUAUCCUUUCUGAUCUCGUGGAUUUGAAAAAUUUGCAGUUUGAGAAAUUAUAGGUCCGCAGUAGUUGCAUAACAAUUGAUUGAAUUUGAUAAGCUGCUGUCUACAUUUAAUUUAAAAAAGGAGUAAUUUAUGCAGAAAAUUUUCGAUCUCAUUGUUUCUUAUGGGAUUCUAUUAAAAGAACUAAGAUGAGGCUUGAGAUUUUUGGAUGUAAUAAUUGUUCGUGUGGUAUGGUAAUUGAGGUUGUCGAUGUAACUAGAAUUUUUGUUAAAUAAGUAUUAUUAGGAGAGUGGAUCUUUAACCACCUUAUUUUUUUGUCAGCUCAGUAAUAGACGGUUGUUGCCAAAAAAAUGUCAAUUUUAAGUCAAGGAUGAAGGGAUGGCUAUGUUUAAGUAGUCUGUAGUUUAAUGUUGGUUGUUGGAUUAAUACAAUUUGAAACACAAAGAAAAGGGUGGAACGCUAUGGUAGCAGCCUUCGUACAAGAAUUUAAGCCUGAUUGGAAACGUCGCACUCAAAGAGUAUUGUCUUAAGAUAGCCGAAGAAACUAUUUGAAUAGGAACUUAUCGGUUUAAUCAAAGUUAUCCUACGUUACUUUUGACAACUGUGGGAUAUUUACGUAAACGACAUUUGACCAGAAAUCUAGGCACAAACGGACAAAAUGAAAGUGUGGUUUUGUGGUUGCUAAGGAAUUUGGUUGUUUUAGACUUGUGGGGUAUCUGCGAACAUCUUAUGGUGUUUUAUUAGCAGUUGGACUUUCCCACAAACCCCUGUACGAAUUGAGAACGUAUUAAAUGUGGGUCAAUGUAUUUUCACGACGUUGUUAGUGAACGGGUUAGAUCUUCCCCGUACGAGUUAUAUGAGAAUUCUGUGAAUGCCACUGUUCCAACCGAAUGGUUUUUGAUGCUGAUACCUUGCGUCAUUUGGGCUAUUGGCGGACACGAAAUUCUUGACGCUGAAAUUCAUGUAUUUGUGAGAUUGUGUUGCUACGUUAUUAGGCAAGACAAGUGCUUCGACUUGAGUGUUGUUAAUUUGGGGUUAUAAGCAUGUUUUAUUCUUGUUUGUGUUGUUGGGUUUGCCGGAGAUUCUAUUGAUUGUUAAAGUAGUUGAUUUGAGGUUGUAAAAGAAAACUUAACUAGAGGAAGAGUCGACAAGUUUUGAGAUUCCGACAGCAUCGAAUGGGGUUUUCCUUCGAUAAGUCUUUUGGGAUUAUGAAAGAAAUUGUUCUUGCAUAUGUUAUAAGUUGUUGCAUCAAUAUCUCGUUCCCCUUGACACGCUAGUCAAUUUUCCAUUAUGUGGUACUCAAAGUAUGAUUCAUUCCAGUCACCGACCUCGGUUUAACCAUAAGUCUUUAUUCUCGAAAUUCUACCAUGUGUUCCUGCUCACAUAUUCGAAUCAUUUACGGGUUUCUUUGAACAUAAGGUUUUUCAAUCACGAAUGGGGGUAAACUUUUCUUGUGGGAUGGUUAAGUUCAGCGGGGUUACUAUGGAAUCGAUUGAAUUAUUGUGACGGACAAGGUUUCAGAUUACGAAUUGUUUAUUUCAAGUAUUGAAAUUCUUUUCUAGUUGAUUAAUUCUUGAACUAGAUUUGGAGUAUUAACUAGUGUUGGAAACAUUGUAGUCCAUUAAAGAAUCUGGUAUAUACAGAGUUGGGAACUUUCAACAAUGUUGUAUCUGUAAUGAUGUAGUUGUGAGGUUUUGUCAUACAGUUGGGUGGAAAUAUCCUAUGUAGGGCUAGUGGAGAUCAUCAGAGUUUUGUUGAUUGCCGAUUUGAGGUUACAGAAAGGAAAGUUUAAUUUAAGGGAAGAGUGAUAAGUUUCGAGAUUGUGAUAUUUUUGAAUUAAUUGCUGUGCUGUUUAUGUUCUAACCGGCAUGAAAUUUCGAGGGCGAAAUUUUUAUAAGGAGGGGAGAAUGUAACGUCCCGUAUCUUAAAUUACCAAUUUACAAGUUAGUUGGACGGUAAACGACCGUUAUUUUCACUUUUACUGUCGUUUAAGUACUUUUAGUGGCCCUAAAAGUUGACUUUUUGAUCGGGCCAAAAUUUGAGAAAAUUUCCUUCAUGAAAGUUGUAGAGGACGUUAACCCGAGCGCGUGCAUAUGUGGUGCGUAAAAAUCGGAGUUCGUAUGCGAAAGUUACAAGCGAAAUAGUAAAGUUACUGUUCAUUGGUAGAAAGUAUAAAUUUGAAAAUUUACUGUUGCUGGGUAAUUUCUUUUCUCUCUCCCCUUCCCCGCGUUUUCUCUCUUCUCCCCGAACUGUUGCUCUUUCUCCCUCUCGCCUGCAACUCCGGCCUUCUUCCUCCUCCGGCCACCUGACGACGAAAAGCAAGUAUCUUUGGACUCGUCUCCGCUCCCUCUAGGUGCCUGUGGUGGUGUUUUGCGGUGGCUCGGCCCAAUGAGCUCGGAUUUGAGCUGUGAAGUUCACUGUAGCAAUCCGGAAGUUUCGUCGAUUUCCGGCGAUUCCGGCCAUCUCCGGCCACCAAACCGGCGUCGAAGGAGCGGUUUUUCCCAAGGAUCAUGUUGCCCCUAGCCUUGAGCCACGAUUUGCAGUGUGGAGGUCGAAUCGAAUGUUUGAAAUUCCGAGUUACUAUUCACAAUUCGGGUUCAAACUUCUCUUUAAUUGUUGAGGAUGUCGUACCGGGCUCUGGCUCGAUAAAGGAACUCGUAUACGUGACCGUCGGAAUAGUACUUGUACAGGUGAAAUUAGUUGAGGUCGGGCGUACAUGGUGUCGAGGCAUAGUCAACAGCAUGGCUUCCGC